AGGAUUUUAAGUUAAAUAAACUAUUAACCUUCAAAGUUAAAAUUGCUUAGAAGUAAAUCUUA
rnacentral:tRNA from 1 species